UACGGAGGAUGCAAGCGUUAUCCGGAAUGAUUGGGCGUAAAGCGUUUUAAGGUGGCUUGGUAAGUCUACUGUUAAAUAUCAGGGCUUAACCCUGAACAGGCAGUGGAAACUAGCAAGCUUGAGUACGGUAGGGGCAGAGGGAAUUCCCGGUGUAGCGGUGAAAUGCGUAGAUAUCGGGAAGAACACCAAAGGCGAAAGCACUCUGCUGGGCCGAAACUGACACUGAUAGACGAAAGCUAGGGGAGCAAAUGGG
rnacentral:rRNA from 1 species